GACAUGCUAGUCGCGUGCUUCAGCCAAAACGAGGCACGGCAAACAGCUCAGUAACACGUGGCUAAUCUGCCCUUAGGACGAGAAUACCCCCGGGAAACUGGGGCUAAUUCUCGAUAGGUGAAGAACUCUGGAAUGAGUCUUUGCCUAAAAGAGCUUACGUUAUGCUCGUAAGUUUCGCCUAAGGAUGAGGCCGCGACCGAUCAGGUUGUUGGUGAGGUAAUGGCUCACCAAGCCUUUUACCGGUGCGGGCCGUGAGAGCGGGAGCCCGGAGAUGGGCACUGAGACAAGGGCCCAGGCCCUACGGGGCGCAGCAGUCGCGAAAACUUUGCAAUACACGAAAGUGUGACAGGGCUAUCCCGAGUGCCAUCCGCUGAGGAAGGCUUUUACCCAGUCUAGAACGCUGGGGGAAUAAGGAGAGGGCAAGUCUGGUGUCAGCCGCCGCGGUAAUACCAGCUCUCCGAGUGGUGUGGAUGUUUAUUGGGCCUAAAGCAUCCGUAGCUGGCUAAGUUAGUCCUUUGUUAAAUCCACCGAAUUAAUCGUUGGAUCGCGGGGGAUACUGCUUGGCUAGGGGACGAGAGAGGCAGACGGUAUUUUUGGGGUAGGGGUGAAAUCCUAUAAUCCCAGGAAGACCACCAGUGGCGAAGGCUGUCUGCUAGAACGCGCCCGACGGUGAGGGAUGAAAGCUGGGGGAGCGAACCGGAUUAGAUACCCGGGUAGUCCCAGCUGUAAACGAUGCAUGCUAGGUGUUUGGACGGCCACGUGCCGUUCUAGUGCCGCAGGAAGCUGUUAAGCCUGCCGCCUGGGGAGUACGAUCGCAGAUUGAAACUUAA
rnacentral:rRNA from 1 species